GCAGUCUUUACAUUGCCCCUAGGGACACCUCCAAGUUGCCAUUCCUCAGAUGGCCACUGGAGGUGCUUCCUGGCUCCAGUGGCGGAUCCAGAGCCUGAUCUCGGGAGGGGCACUUGUAGAUUAUUUAAAUAAAUAAUCCAGACACAAUAACCACUACAGCUGUAGUGGUUAUGGUGUCAAUAGUGCCGGGACCCCCUCCCAGAG